rnacentral:lncRNA from 1 species
UAGACAAAGAAGAGCUCUCCAGUAGGUACCAAAACAUUAAAAAGGCAAUUUUCUCAGUCAGGACACAAGUUUAUCAACUUUCAAAGCAGAAUAACUUUCCCAUUGUUCCUCAAAUGCAGUGUAUGAUAUACCAUUUUGUAGCUCUGUGUCUCUGCUUUUAUCCAAUGUAAAUAACACAAUUUCAAAUUUUGCUAUAUAAGACCGAAUCAAGGAGGUCAGUCACAAUUGAAUUACGUUUUUUUGCCAACGUUUACUGACACCGGCCAUAGUCAAUGGGUGUUGAGCGCUCGUAAAUUCAUAAGUUAUUCUGCGCUUUGGCACACUCAGAUGAGAGUGCUCUGAAAUCGGAGCAGAUAGCCAAAGCGAAUUUACCAGCUACGUCUAUCGACAGUUGUCGCAAUGACAUUAUGAACAUUCUAUUGAAAUGGUUACUUGCAUAGUGGAGUCUUUUGUUUAGACAUGUAGCUAGCUAAACAAUUAACCAUAAUCCCAACUGAUAACGUUACUACCCUGCAUGAAUCUGCAGGUAGCUAACCAACCAGGUUCAACUAGCAAUGCAAAUGGCUCUAAGAUACAAACAAUAUAACUACACAGAUCCUACACGUGACGUUAGCUAGCUAGUUAGCUAGCUAGUACACUUUACCUUGAAAUCAAAACUACUUUCUGACAAAAUUAGAAAUGUGUAACAUCUGAAAAUGUAGCUAGCUAGACUAUCUUACCCGUAUUCAUGGAUGGAUGCUUCUCCCUCUCUGUCACAGAGGCCAUGGUUGCAUUUAGUUUGACGUUUUAUUCCGGAGACAGGUGUUUUAUACAACAGCCUUCUGUGUGUCCUCUUUUUGACUCCAUCUGCAUAUUUGCAAUCAAAACGCCAGCAUUUUCUCCAUCUCCUAAGUGAUCAUACUCUAAUUCCACUGAUUUCAAAACUCGGUCCUCCAGAAAGUGGAGAGCAACACUUAUGUAGUUCAACUACGUGAUAUCGUUCAAAAAAGCUGCGUUGGAAAGGUUUACCUACACAUACUGACCAGAUCAUGUUAUAGAUAGAAGCAUGCUACAUUGCAGACCAAUCCGAAUUCAUCUCUCGGCAUGUCCAGCCCACUCAUUAUCUCAGCCAAUCAUGGCUAGCGGGAAGGUUGCUGCCUUUUUCUGUGGCUAAACCAACUAGGCUCGUAAUUUAACAAUUGUAUUUAUAUUUACAGGUGGCAUACGAGUUUGUUAUUACAGUUUUUUACAAUCGCUUAGACACUAAAAGUGGUACUUGAGGCACACUCAGUGAAACCAUUAACUCAUGUACCUAAUCUCCAGACCACGUCUGCAAAACUGCAAGCACAUUAUCUGCUUUACACUCAGUUUGCAAUUGUAAAACACACUUUCUGCAAAACACUAAACACAGGUCUCUACAUUAGACACAUCAUUCAAAACUAACAGGUCUUGUGUUUCAUUUGGAAAUACUGCCAUUCCAAAUGCCGCACUCAUUUACCGAUUACCUACACCCAGUGCUCACAUGUGAAAACACUUAACUAAUUUCUUCACUUAGAAAUCAGAGCUUGAGCACUGUAAAUAGGCUUCAGGUUGGUUUUCUUGGUUUGGACAACAAAUGGAGGCCAAUUUUGGAGAGUUAGAGGAAGAGGAGUGAGAGUAAGAGGAGGAUGAGGACAAUGAGGAGGACAAAGUGUCACACCCUGAUCUGUUUCACCUGUCUUUGUGAUUGUCUCCACCCCCCUCCAGGUGUCGCCCAUCUUCCCCAUUAUCCCCUGUGUAUUUAUACCUGUGUUCUCUGUUUUUCUGUUGCCAGUUCUUCUUGUUUGUCAAGUCAACCAACAUUUUGUAUCAGCAUGCUUUCCGCAGUAUCUCUUUUCUCAUCCCCCUGGUUUUUGACCCUUGCCUGUCCUGAACCUGCCCCUGAGCCUGCCUGCCGUCCUGUACCUUUGCCCCACCUCUGGAUUACCAACCUCUGCCUGACCUGAGCCUGCCUGCUGUCCUGUACCUUUGUCCCUGUUGCUGUAAUAAACAUUGUUACUUCGACAUGGUCUGCAUCUGGGUCUUACCUUUAUCCUGAUAGGAAGAGGACGAGGAGUGGGACAAGGAAGAGGAGGAAGGAGAACAAUCACAGAUGAGAUCCGGGCCACUUUGGUUGACCAUGUGGUCAUCCAUGGUUUGAGUUUCAGGGAGGCUGGGCACAGGGUCCAGCCUAACUUGAGCCGCUACACUGCAGCAAGUGCCAUCUGGACAUUUCGAAAUGAGAACAGGUUUAGGAAAUCUCAACAGAUAUCAAUCAAUAGCUGAAGUGGACUGCUG